rnacentral:rRNA from 1 species
AGUCCAGCUGUAACGAUGCGGGCUAGGUGUUGGAGUGGCUACGAGCCGCUCCAGUGCCGCAGGGAAGCCGUUAAGCCCGCCGCCUGGGGAGUACGGCCGCAAGGCUGAAACUUAAAGGAAUUGGCGGGGGAGCACCACAAGGGGUGAAGCUUGCGGUUUAAUUGGAGUCAACGCCGGAAACCUUACCGGGGGCGACAGCAGAAUGAAGGCCAGAUUGAAGGUCUUGCUGGACUAGCUGAGAGGAGGUGCAUGGCCGUCGCCAGUUCGUGCCGUGAGGUGUCCUGUUAAGUCAGGCAACGAUCGAGACCCGCACCCCCAGUUGCCACCG